rnacentral:piRNA from 1 species
UGAUUCGUUCCUCUUUUUGGGUCCUUCACUU